AAAAACUCGACCAAAAACCAGAAUACAGCCAAAGUAAGAAUAUCAGGUAGGAGAUUGCCAUUCCUCUAACAAAAUGAAUAAACACGUUAUGAAAUCCUUGGUCUUUUCUGGAAUUACCUUUAUCAGGCAAAGCAAAAUAUUUAAAAUCCAAGUUUGUGUAAUGACCGAAGACGUCGAAGAGUUAUAAACAAAAUAAUACCCC
rnacentral:lncRNA from 1 species